GCCGAAGUGGCGGAACAGGCAGACGCGCCAGGUUUAGGUCCUGGUGCCCGAAAGGGUGUGCGGGUUCAAGUCCCGCCUUCGGCA
rnacentral:tRNA from 1 species